rnacentral:rRNA from 1 species
UACGUAGGGUGCGAGCGUUAAUCGGAAUUACUGGGCGUAAAGUGUGCGCAGGCGGCUUCUUAAGUCAGGGGUGAAAUCCUGGAGCUCAACUCCAGAACUGCCUUUGAUACUGGAAAGCUUGAGUUCGGGAGAGGUGGGUGGAACUGCGAGUGUAGAGGUGAAAUUCGUAGAUAUUCGCAAGAACACCAGUGGCGAAGGCGGCUCACUGGCCCGAUACUGACGCUGAGGUGCGAAAGCGUGGGGAGCAAACAGG